rnacentral:rRNA from 1 species
GAUGAACGCUAGCGGGAGGCCUAAUACAUGCAAGUCGAGCGGUAGAGUGACUUCGGUUGCUUGAGAGCGGCGAACGGGUGAGUAACGCGUACACAAUCUACCUUUAAGAGGGGAAUAGCCCUGGGAAACUGGGAUUAAUGCCCCAUGGCAUCACGAAGUGGCAUCGCUUUGUGAUUAAAGCUGAGGUGCUUAGAGAUGAGUGUGCGUCUGAUUAGCUAGUUGGUGCGGUAACGGCGCACCUAGGCGACGAUCAGUAGGGGGCGUGAGAGCGUGGACCCCACCACGGUACGUGAGACACGGA